UCUGGCAGAAAUGACACUCUUGCCCUGACUGCGAAUGCUGUUCAGUAAUGAGAACGUUUUGAAGUACUUGCUUGCUCUGAGUCAGA